rnacentral:rRNA from 1 species
GAUGAACGCUGGCGGCGUGCCUAAUACAUGCAAGUCGAGCGAAUGGAUUAAGGGCUUGCUCUUAUGAAGUUAGCGGCGGACGGGUGAGUAACACGUGGGUAACCUGCCCAUAAGACUGGGAUAACUCCGGGAAACCGGGGCUAAUACCGGAUAACAUUUUGAACCGCAUGGUUCGAAAUUGAAAGGCGGCUACGGCUGUCACUUAUGGAUGGACCCGCGGCGCAUUAGCUAGUUGGUGAGGUAACGGCUCACCAAGGCAACGAUGCGUAGCCGACCUGAGAGGGUGAUCGGCCACACUGGGACUGAGACACGGCCCAGACUCCUACGGGAGGCAGCAGUAGGGAAUCUUCCGCAAUGGACGAAAGUCUGACGGAGCAACGCCGCGUGAGUGAUGAAGGCUUUCGGGUCGUAAAACUCUGUUGUUAGGGAAGAACAAGUGCUAGUUGAAUAAGCUGGCACCUUGACGGUACCUAACCAGAAAGCCACGGCUAACUACGUGCCAGCCGCCGCAGUAA